rnacentral:rRNA from 1 species
UGAAAUAGAACCUGAAACCGUGUACGUACAAGCAGUAGGAGCAGGCUUUGUCCUGUGACUGCGUACCUUUUGUAUAAUGGGUCAGCGACUUAUAUUCAGUGGCAAGGUUAACCAUCUAGGGGAGCCGUAGGGAAACCGAGUCUUAACUGGGCGUUCAGUCUCUGGAUAUAGACCCGAAACCAGGUGAUCUAGCCAUGGGCAGGUUGAAGGUUGAGUAACAUCAACUGGAGGACCGAACCGACUAAUGUUGAAAAAUUAGCGGAUGACUUGUGGCUAGGGGUGAAAGGCCAAUCAAACCUGGAGAUAGCUGGGUUCUCCCCGAAAGCUAUUUAGGUAGCGCCUCGGACGAAUACUACUGGGGGUAGAGCACUGUUAAGGCUAGGGGGUCAUCCCGACUUACCAACCCUUUGCAAACUCCGAAUACCAGUAAGUACUAUCCGGGAGACACACGGCGGGUGCUAACGUCCGUCGUGGAGAGGGAAACAACCCAGACCGCCAGCUAAGGUCCCAAAUUACUACUAAGUGGGAAACGAUGUGGGAAGGCUCAGACAGCCAGGAUGUUGGCUUAGAAGCAGCCAUCAUUUAAAGAAAGCGUAAUAGCUCACUGGUCGAGUCGGCCUGCGCGGAAGAUGUAACGGGGCUAAGUAGUAAACCGAAGCUGCGGCAAUGUGCUUUUGCACAUUGGGUAGGGGAGCGUUCUGUAAGCGGUUGAAGGUGUGUGGUAACGCAUGCUGGACGUAUCAGAAGUGCGAAUGCUGACAUGAGUAACGAUAAAGGGGGUGAAAAACCUCCUCGCCGGAAGACCAAGGGUUCCUGUCCAACGUUAAUCGGGGCAGGGUAAGUCGACCCCUAAGGCGAGGCCGAAAGGCGUAGUCGAUGGGAAACGGGUUAAUAUUCCCGUACUUCUUACAAUUGCGAUGGGGGGACGGAGAAGGCUAGGUGGGCCUGGCGACGGUUGUCCAGGUUCAAGUGCGUAGGCUGAAGAGUUAGGUAAAUCCGGCUCUUUUUAAGGCUGAGACACGACGUCGAGCACCUACGGGUGUGAAGUCAUUGAUGCCAUGCUUCCAGGAAAAGCCUCUAAGCUUCAGAUUGUAAGGAAUCGUACCCCAAACCGACACAGGUGGUCGGGUAGAGAAUACCAAGGCGCUUGAGAGAACUCGGGUGAAGGAACUAGGCAAAAUGGUACCGUAACUUCGGGAGAAGGUACGCUCUCGACGGUGAAGUCCCUUGCGGAUGGAGCUAUUGAGAGUCGCAGAUACCAGGUGGCUGCAACUGUUUAUUAAAAACACAGCACUGUGCAAAAUCGUAAGAUGACGUAUACGGUGUGACGCCUGCCCGGUGCCGGAAGGUUAAUUGAUGGGGUUAGACUUCGGUCGAAGCUCUUGAUCGAAGCCCCGGUAAACGGCGGCCGUAACUAUAACGGUCCUAAGGUAGCGAAAUUCCUUGUCGGGUAAGUUCCGACCUGCACGAAUGGCGUAAUGAUGGCCACGCUGUCUCCACCCGAGACUCAGUGAAAUUGAAA